AUUGAACGCUGGCGGCAGGCCUAACACAUGCAAGUCGAACGAGUGGCGGACGGGUGAGUAAUGUCUGGGAAACUGCCUGAUGGAGGGGGAUAACUACUGGAAACGGUAGCUAAUACCGCAUACCAUCCGCUGUGCCCAGAUGGGAUUGGCUAGUAGGUGGGGUAAAGGCUCACCUAGGCGACGAGCCCUAGCUGGUCUGAGAGGAUGACAAGCCACACUGGAACUGAGACACGGCCCAGACCCCUACGGGAGGAAGCAGUGGGGAAUAUGGGACAAUGGGCGAAAGCCUGAUGCAGCCAUGCCGCGUGUAGGAAGAGGGCCUUCGGGUGGGAAAGUACGUUCAGCGGGGAGGCGGUACCCGAAGAAGAAGCACCGGCUAACUCCGUGCCAGCAGCCGCGGUAAUUC
rnacentral:rRNA from 1 species